rnacentral:rRNA from 1 species
GGCAGCAUGGUCUUAGCUUGCUAAGGCCGAUGGCGACCGGCGCACGGGUGAGUAACACGUAUCCAACCUGCCGUCUACUCUUGGACAGCCUUCUGAAAGGAAGAUUAAUACAAGAUGGCAUCAUGAGUCCGCAUGUUCACAUGAUUAAAGGUAUUCCGGUAGACGAUGGGGAUGCGUUCCAUUAGAUAGUAAGCGGGGUAACGGCCCACCUAGUCUUCGAUGGAUAGGGGUUCUGAGAGGAAGGUCCCCCACAUUGGAACUGAGACACGGUCCAAACUCCUACGGGAGGCAGCAGUGAGGAAUAUUGGUCAAUGGGCGAGAGCCUGAACCAGCCAAGUAGCGUGAAGGAUGACUGCCCUAUGGGUUGUAAACUUCUUUUAUAAAGGAAUAAAGUCGGGUAUGUAUACCCGUUUGCAUGUACUUUAUGAAUAAGGAUCGGCUAACUCCGUGCCAGCAGCCGCGGUAAUACGGAGGAUCCGAGCGUUAUCCGGAUUUAUUGGGUUUAAAGGGAGCGUAGAUGGAUGUUUAAGUCAGUUGUGAAAGUUUGCGGCUCAACCGUAAAAUUGCAGUUGAUACUGGAUAUCUUGAGUGCAGUUGAGGCAGGCGGAAUUCGUGGUGUAGCGGUGAAAUGCUUAGAUAUCACGAAGAACUCCGAUUGCGAAGGCAGCCUGCUAAGCUGCAACUGACAUUGAGGCUCG